GGUUCUCUAUGUCAUCUCUUUCUCCAUUAUUAGUCAACAGAUCACUGGAAAGCCACCGUGAUAGUGGGGAGCCUCGUGGAGGAGCUUAAGGACCAUGUUAAGGCCGGCAAGAAGCCAAGGAUCCUUUGCCUCCAUGGAUUUUGGACCAGUGGCAAGAUCAUAAGGCGCCAGGUGAGCGGAAAGUGGUUUCGGUGGGAUUUCUGAACCUCCUUUUUGCGGAGGAUGUGGAGGAUCUUGGGCGUUAGUUCCACUGCCCUUGCGGAGGAGGCGUUGUCUGAUGACCUCGGUCUUGGGAUCCAAAGUCUUCGCUUCGCAGCGAGGAAGACGAAGGCAUGUCUCCGUUCAAUCCCUUGCUUCCUCCUCGGAAAUUCUUUGCUGGGAAACUGAUUUCUAUGACGUACUCUAGAACUCCAUCGGUGGUGGCAAACCUAAGAUGCUAUGGUAAUUCAAUGAGAAUUGGUGGCCUUCGUCUUCAGUGAUUGAGGAUCCUCCGGUUGCGAGCGCGGAUAAAGAGAAACUGAUUGCUAUUUUUUUAGUUUGCACCUAUAUUGAUGAGGAAAAGGAGAGAGGAUUUUCAGAGGAGUAUGGAACUGUUUUGAGGGAGUUAAUAUGUCCAAACAUAUGUUGGAGCAUGUCAAGAUGGAGAAGAGAAGAUGAUUGAGAGCCAUGUGUUUAGAGAGGUGACGGUAUCUACUGUUGCAUAUCAACGUUCGAUUUUGUUUCUACAUUGUCUUUUAUUUGAUUUUAUUUGUUUAUAAAAAAGCCAAAGCUUCAUGGAAGAUCCCAACACCCAAAUGAAUUCAAUAAAUUUCUCUAAUAAUCUUAAUUUUUAUUUAGAUAA